CGUGUAGGCGGCCUGCUAAGUCUGAUGUGAAAGCCCGAGGCUCACCCUCGGAAGUGCAUUGGAAACUGGCAGACUGGAGUCCCGGAGAGGAGGGUGGAAUUCCUGGUGUAGCGGUGAAAUGCGUAGAUAUCAGGAGGAACACCGGUGGCGAAGGCGGCCCUCUGGACGGUGACUGACGCCGAGACGCGAAAGCGUGGGAGCAAACA
rnacentral:rRNA from 1 species